GGAUUCCCCUAGUAACUGCGAGUGAAGCGGGAAAAGCUCAAAUUUAAAAUCUGAUAGUCUUAGGCUGUCCGAGUUGUAAUCUAGAGAAGUGUUAUCCGCGCUGGACCGUGUACAAGUCUCCUGGAAUGGAGCGUCAUAGAGGGUGAGAAUCCCGUCUUUGACACGGACUACCAGGGCUUUGUGAUGCGCUCUCAAAGAGUCGAGUUGUUUGGGAAUGCAGCUCAAAAUGGGUGGUAAAUUCCAUCUAAAGCUAAAUAUUGGCGAGAGACCGAUAGCGAACAAGUACCGUGAGGGAAAGAUGAAAAGAACUUUGGAAAGAGAGUUAAACAGUACGUGAAAUUGCUGAAAGGGAAACGCUUGAAGUCAGUCGCGUUGACCAGGGAUCAACCUUGCUCUUGCUGGGUGUACUUUCUGGUUAACGGGUCAACAUCAAUUUUGAUUGUUGGAAAAAGAUCAAGGGAAUGUAGCAUCUUCGGAUGUGUUAUAGCCUUUGGUUGUAUACAACAAUUGGGAUUGAGGAACUCAGCACGCCGAAAGGCCGGGUUUUAACCACGUUCGUGCUUAGGAUGUUGGCAUAAUGGCUUUAAUCGACCCGUCUUGAAACACGGACCAAGGAGUCUAACAUGCCUGCGAGUGUUUGGGUGGAAAACCCGAGCGCGUAAUGAAAGUGAAAGUUGAGAUCCCUGUCGCGGGGAGCAUCGACGCCCGGACCAGAAAUUUAUGGACGGUUCCGCGGUAGAGCAUGUAUGUUGGGACCCGAAAGAUGGUGAACUAUGCCUGAAUAGGGUGAAGCCAGAGGAAACUCUGGUGGAGGCUCGUAGCGAUUCUGACGUGCAAAUCGAUCGUCAAAUUUGGGUAUAGGGGCGAAAGACUAAUCG
rnacentral:rRNA from 1 species